rnacentral:rRNA from 1 species
GAUGAGCGCUGGCGGCGUGCCUAAUACAUGCAAGUCGAGCGAACAGACGAGGAGCUUGCUCCUUUGACGUUAGCGGCGGACGGGUGAGUAACACGUGGGUAACCUACCUAUAAGACUGGGAUAACUUCGGGAAACCGGAGCUAAUACCGGAUAAUAUUUCGAACCGCAUGGUUCGAUAGUGAAAGAUGGCUUUGCUAUCACUUAUAGAUGGACCUGCGCCGUAUUGGCUAGUUGGUAAGGUAACGGCUUACCAAGGCAACGAUACGUAGCCGACCUGAGAGGGUGAUCGGCCACACUGGAACUGGGACACGGUCCAGACUCCUACGGGAGGCAGCAGUAGGGAAUCUUCCGCAAUGGGCGAAAGCCUGACGGAGCAACGCCGCGUGAGUGAUGAAGGUCUUCGGAUCGUAAAACUCUGUUAUUAGGGAAGAACAAACGUGUAAGUAACUGUGCACGUCUUGACGGUACCUAAUCAGAAAGCCACGGCUAACUGCGUGCCAGCAGCCGCGGUAAUACGUAGGUGGCAAGCGUUAUCCGGAAUUAUUGGGCGUAAAGCGCGCGUAGGCGGUUUUUUAAGUCUGAUGUGAAAGCCCACGGCUCAACCGUGGAGGGUCAUUGGAAACUGGAAAACUUGAGUGCAGAAGAGGAAAGUGGAAUUCCAUGUGUAGCGGUGAAAUGCGCAGAGAUAUGGAGGAACACCAGUGGCGAAGGCGACUUUCUGGUCUGUAACUGACGCUGAUGUGCGAAAGCGUGGGGAUCAAACAGGAUUAGAUACCCUGGUAGUCCACGCCGUAAACGAUGAGUGCUAAGUGUUAGGGGGUUUCCGCCCCUUAGUGCUGCAGCUAACGCAUUAAGCACUCCGCCUGGGGAGUACGACCGCAAGGUUGAAACUCAAAGGAAUUGACGGGGACCCGCACAAGCGGUGGAGCAUGUGGUUUAAUUCGAAGCAACGCGAAGAACCUUACCAAAUCUUGACAUCCUUUGACCCUUCUAGAGAUAGAAGUUUCCCCUUCGGGGGACAAAGUGACAGGUGGUGCAUGGUUGUCGUCAGCUCGUGUCGUGAGAUGUUGGGUUAAGUCCCGCAACGAGCGCAACCCUUAAGCUUAGUUGCCAUCAUUAAGUUGGGCACUCUAAGUUGACUGCCUGUGACAAACCGGAGGAAGGUGGGGAUGACGUCAAAUCAUCAUGCCCCUUAUGAUUUGGGCUACACACGUGCUACAAUGGACAAUACAAAGGGCAGCGAAACCGCGAGGUCAAGCAAAUCCCAUAAAGUUGUUCUCAGUUCGGAUUGUAGUCUGCAACUCGACUACAUGAAGCUGGAAUCGCUAGUAAUCGUAGAUCAGCAUGCUACGGUGAAUACGUUCCCGGGUCU